GACGAACGCUGGCGGCGUGCCUAAUACAUGCAAGUCGAACGGAGUGGCGGACGGGUGAGUAAUGUAUCGGGACCUGCCCAAUAGCGGGGGAUAACUACGCGAAAGCGUAGCUAAUACCGCAUACUAUUGGAUGGACCGAUAUCGGAUUAGCUAGUUGGUGGGGUAACGGCUCACCAAGGCGACGAUCCGUAGCUGGUUUGAGAGGAUGACCAGCCACACUGGGACUGAGACACGGCCCAGACUCCGACGGGAGGCAGCAGUGGGGAAUUUUGGACAAUGGGGGAAACCCUGAUCCAGCCAUGCCGCGUGUGUGAUGAAGGCCUUCGGGUUGUAAAGCACUUUUGGUAGGGAAGCGGUACCUGCAGAAUAAGCACCGGCUAACUACGUGCCAGCAGCCGCGGUAAUAC
rnacentral:rRNA from 1 species